rnacentral:rRNA from 1 species
CAUGCAAGUGGUAGGAAUCCGAAAGGUGACCGACCCUUCGGGAGCUUGCACAGGUGCUGCAUUGGCUGUCGUCAGCUCGUGUCGUGAGAUGUUCGGUUAAGUCCGCUAACGAGCGCAACCCUCGUCGUGUGUUAUACGUGUCACACGAUACUGCCGGUAUCAAGCCGGAGGAAGGUGGGGAUGAUGUCAAGUCAGCAUGGCCUUUAUAUCCUGGGCUACACACACGCUACAAUGGCAGAUACAAUAGGUUGCGAAACCGCGAGGUGGAGCCAAUCCUCAAAGUCUGUCUCAGUUCAGAUUGUAGGCUGCAACUCGCCUGCAUGAAGUUGGAGUUGCUAGUAAACGCAGGUCAGCUAUACUGCGUUGAAUACGUUCCCGGGGUUU